rnacentral:lncRNA from 1 species
GCUGUCGAUUUUCAGAAGGGUCGUGUUGAGUGGGACGGGUUUGGAGUUAACGACGAUGGACGUAACGCCGAUGAAAUAUUCAGUGGAUUUUUCCCCGGCGGAGGACACGCCUGCGGUACUGACGGGGUUGAUGAAGAGCGGGGUGUAGGUGAAGGAAUUUGUUAAGUCGAUGUUGGGUAAGAAAUGGUAUGGGCCGUUACCGGAGAAGAUGACGCCAGGGGAACUAGUGGAGCCGCUCAAGCACACGGCGAAUUUUCUGUUAAAGCUGAAGGCGGCGGCGAAUUGGGAUGGUAGAGAGAUUCCGUUUCUUCCGAAUCCGGCCAUUCCAGUUACGCCGGGGGCGAGGCCUUCGAGGAGAAAAGUGGAACCGCAGACGAAGAGGAAAUUAGGGAUCGACACGGCUCUGGUUGGAUUGAAGCCGUUGGUGGAGGAAACAGAGACGACGUCUGAAGCGACUUCUCCGCUAGUUGAGAGACGGAUAAUGGUGUUGCCGGGGAAAAGGCUGCAGGUAUUGUUGUUGCAGCCGGGGCGGGGUGGCGAAAAGCAUUGACCGCAGGCACUGGACUUCGAGGCGAGGGAGCAUUGGGCGGAACGACAACGAGCGGGUUUGUAGGAGGAAGAAACGUAGCCACGGUCACAGUCGACCCACAUGAACUGACCGCCGAGGUCCACCGUGAGCUUGACCGGAACUAGAGGAGUUCGUUGGUGGAUCUCGGUUAUAUAUUGAAGAGAUGGGUGUUUGGUAACAGGGAGAAGGAGGGAUUUGGGACGGAAGGAAGUUGCAGCAAUGGAAAUGGAGAAGAGGAGGAAGAGAAUGGAGGAGAAGAAGGAGAAGGAAGUGGAGGAGGCCAUUGAGGAGGGAGUGUUUUGAGGUAAUUUGUUGGU